rnacentral:rRNA from 1 species
CCUACGGGUGGCAGCAGUGAGGAAUAUUGGUCAAUGGUCGGGAGACUGAACCAGCCAAGUCGCGUGAAGGAUGACUGCCCUAAGGGUUGUAAACUUCUUUUAUAAGGGAAUAAAGUGUGGCACGUGUGCCCUUUUGUAUGUACCUUAUGAAUAAGGAUCGGCUAACUCCGUGCCAGCAGCCGCGGUAAUACGGAGGAUCCGAGCGUUAUCCGGAUUUAUUGGGUUUAAAGGGAGCGUAGGCGGGUUGUUAAGUCAGUUGUGAAAGUUUGCGGCUCAACCGUAAAAUUGCAGUUGAUACUGGCAGCCUUGAGUACAGUAGAGGUAGGCGGAAUUCGUGGUGUAGCGGUGAAAUGCUUAGAUAUCACGAAGAACUCCGAUUGCGAAGGCAGCUUAC